AAAACAUAAUGCUUAGCAUUUUAUUUAAGUGCUUAGCAAAUAACUGGCAUCAAAGAUGAUACCAAAAUCUGGGACAUCCCUAAAACUCUAAGCUUACCCCAAACCCCAGGAAAGAGUUGUCUAAGUCAAUGGUCUCUUGCCAUGAAGAGACACCACGACCACAGCAAUUCUUACAAAGGAAAACAUUUCAUUGGAGCUGGCUUGCAGUUCAGGGGUUUAGUCCAUUAUCACAUGGCAGGAAGCGUGGUGGCACGCAGGCAGACAUGCUGCUGGCAAGAGAGCCAAGCGUUUUACAGCCAGAUUGGCAGAUACCAGGAAGGAGAGAGAAGUCUGAGCCAGGCUCUGCAACUGAACCUCAAAGCCCGCCCCCAGUGAUACAUUUCCUCCUCCGAGGCCACAGGACCUAAUCAUUGCAAACAGUACCACUCCCUAUGAGCCAAGGGGGGCUGCUAUUCAAACCACUAUGACAUUACAAGCUCAGAAUAAAGUGUGCAUCUGAUUUCCUCUGGAGAAAACAGUAGAAAGAUUCUUGUGUGCAUGCACGUUUGAGCACAUCUGUAUGUGUGGGGAAGCCAGCAGUCUAUGUCAGGUGUCUUUCUCAACCACACUCUACCUUUUUUGAGACAGGACUUCCCAACUAACCCUGGGACUUAUCAAUUAGGCUGUGCUGGCUACCCAGCAAGCCCGGGGUUCUUACCUUCAGUUCCGCAGUACUAGGAUAGCAGGCAUGCACUACUCUACGGGAUUUUUUUCCCCUUAAUCAUCAAUGUGGGUGCUUCAGAUUGAACCCCUGUCCUUAUGCUUGGCACAGCAAGCACCUGACUAGCUGUCCUAUCUCCACAGCUCUGCAUACCUUUUUGUAAGAAAAAAGAACAGGAAAAAAAUGUGAAGUACCCUUAGUCUUCAGAAAUGUGGAUCAAUCUUACCCUGGAAUGACAUGUAGACUUUUCUGAAGAUUCCUCUGAAGUCCCUUAAACAGUGGCUCUCAGCCUUCCUAAAGCUCUGACCCUUUAACUCAGUUCCUCAUGGUGUGGUGACCCCCAACUGUAAAAUGAUUUCCAUUGCUUUUCCUAACUGUAAAUCUGCUACUGUUAUGAAUCGUCGUGUAAAUGCCUGAGUAUUCGGAUGGUUUGUAAAAGGAUUGUUCAACCCCCCAGGGGGUUGCGACCCACGGGUUGAGAGCCACUGCCAACAGUGCUUACAUUCCUGGGUGCCUUGAGUCUUCUGAAACUCCUUUUGGGGGGAAUCAUCAUUGAGGAAUAAUGAACUUCGUCUGCCGCAGGUUGUCUCUUCAUUUUUAGACAAUGCUUAUUUUGAAGAAGAUGCAAAAAAUUGUGCUGUGUAUAAGGCAAACAAAACAUUGUUGCCCUCGAACUGUGCCUCCAAACACGAGUGGAUAUGCAGAAUUCCAAGAGGUACCAGCUCUUUACUGUAUGUAUGUUUGCAUUUGAAUGAUACGCAGCACUUUCUCAAAUGAAGGGUCCCAGAGAUUCAUAAUCUCAGCACUAGAGCCCUGAGCCACACUGCCAACAACCUGCCUGAUGAACCUAGCUACGCUAGCUUAGUUAAAGCCGGGAGCACAGUCAAAGGAGGGAAGACAGUUCGGUACCCUGUGCCAGGCUGUGCAUUAGGAAUGAAGGUCACCAAGAGUAAGCACAGAUGAAAGAAAUAUCCCUCUGACAUCACGAGCACACAGGAGUGUUGCGCUCUGAGGGUGCGGACGCACCCAGCACAGUGUCUCACACGCAGUAGUCGCUGGCAUGUGACUAGGUCCUUGUUUUAGGACUCGGGAGAUUCCCCUGCAUAUUCUAACUCUUCACAGUCUAGACAGUACAGGGCAUAUCUGGCCUUAAACUUAUGUUUUUGAAGGUGACAUAAGAAUAGCAUGGUUAGAGCUGAGGGAGUGCAGAAACUCUGCAGAAGUCUCAGGCAAUGUGUUUUGCUUUUGCUCUGCAGAUGUGAGACCCAAGUUUCCAGACUGGUACCAGUACGGUAAGGGCCAACUUGACAGUUCUCUAACUUCUAAAUCACACCAAGGAGAGGCUGGUAUUAGUGCAUUAUACUAUCUUUCCACACACCCAUUCUCUUAUAUAUCAACCUGGGACUGAUUAGUUCAAAUCAGCAGAUCAAGAAGGGCAUAAUCAAAGUAAUAGAUAUACUCAUUAAGUGGGGUUGAAAUUAACAUCAUGCCUCCAUUUUCACGGCAUAGUAUUUUAAAAUAUGGAUCUAUCCCUGGCCUAUGAAAGCUAGUGAAGGGGGCUAGAGAGAUGGCUCAAUGGUUAAGAGCACCAAUUGCUCUUCCAGAGGUCCUGAGUUCAAUUCCCAGCAACCACAUGGUAGCUCACAACCAUCUGUAAUGGGAUCUGAUGUCCUCUUCUGGUGUGUGCCUGAAGACAACUACAGUGUACUUACAUACUGAAAUAAGAGGAAGUAAACAAAUAAAUCUUUUUAAAAAAGAAUUAUUUUUAAAAAAAGAAGAAAACUAGUGAAGGGUUCUCAAGUGAGGUAGACUAAGAAAAUAAGUGAAUUAUAGGUAUGCACACAUGCACAUCUGUGCGUGUAUCCAUACAUCCUUACACCCCCUUUUUAAAAUGUUAAACGACCAGAUUACAGUCUGGGAGUCAAUCACAGCCCACACUCCUUCAAGCCCGCCUUACAUCUCUCGCUGGUCCUGAGAGCAUCCUCAUGAUCACACGGUUUCCUUGCAGAUGCGCCGUGGCUCUUCUAUCAGAACGCCGAGUACCUCUUCCACACCCACCCAGCGGAGUGGGCCACCUUUGAGUUUGUCUGCGGCUGGCUGCGAAGUGACUUCCUCACAAUUUAUUCUGCUCAGGAGCAAGAAUUCAUCCACAGCAAAAUCAAAGGGGUACACGAACACAAAUCACUUCACAGAAUUCAUAGUUUACACCUUCCGUCCUUGGGGGAGGCGAUAUUUUUAAAAUUUGACUCUACACAUUCAUUUAAGUUUCCGUAAAAGUCCUGGCUUUCUUUUUUUUCAGACUCUUUUCCCUCUGACUAUACAGAUUCAUAGAAAAUUAUGGGGACGUGGGUUGGUUAUGCCCCUUUGACUUCUGUUUCUUCUGUAAUAGCAAGGGUAUUAAGUGAGAGUCAUUCUUCACUCUCUGGGCCACUCUCGCCACUCGUGAGGGCUUCCUGAUCUAAUCACUUUCCAGAGGCUCACACUUCCCAGCAUGUCAUCUUGUGAGUUAGGAUUUCAAUAUUAAGGACUGGGAAGGGAGGAGACAUCUACAUUCGGUGUGGCUGUAGAUUUCCAAGCAGUAUUUAUUUCUACCCACGAUUGGUACUUUUGGUUGUCAGUAGUACGGUGGUAUUUAUGGUGAGCAUUAGUGUUUCACACGUAAGAUGUCUCAUGUCUACCAAUAUGCUUGCCAAGUUGGUGGAUGCAGGGGAAAUUACUGACUCUAGGAUGAGGAAUCAAACUCAGCAAAGGUGAUAUGGCUCACUUUUGACCCAUACCUGGCC
rnacentral:lncRNA from 1 species